GGGCUGAGGGGCUGCCAUGGCGGCGGCGGGCCGGCUCCCGAGCUCCUGGGCCCUCUUCUCGCCGCUCCUCGCAGGGCUUGCACUACUGGGAGUCGGGCCGGUCCCAGCGCGGGCGCUGCACAACGUCACGGCCGAGCUCUUUGGGGCCGAGGCCUGGGGCACCCUUGCGGCUUUCGGGGACCUCAACUCCGACAAGCAGACGGAUCUCUUCGUGCUGCGGGAAAGAAAUGACUUAAUCGUCUUUUUGGCAGACCAGAAUGCACCCUAUUUUAAACCCAAAGUAAAGGUAUCUUUCAAGAAUCACAGUGCAUUGAUAACAAGUGUAGUCCCUGGGGAUUAUGAUGGAGAUUCUCAAAUGGAUGUCCUUCUGACAUAUCUUCCCAAAAAUUAUGCCAAGAGUGAAUUAGGAGCUGUUAUCUUCUGGGGACAAAAUCAAACAUUAGAUCCUAACAAUAUGACCAUACUCAAUAGGACUUUUCAAGAUGAGCCACUAAUUAUGGAUUUCAAUGGUGAUCUAAUUCCUGAUAUUUUUGGUAUCACAAAUGAAUCCAACCAGCCACAGAUACUAUUAGGAGGGAGAUGGACUCUCACUCUGUCACCCAGGCCGAAGUGCAGUGGUACGAUCAUAGCUCACUGCAGCUUUGAGCUCCUGGCCGCAAGCAGUCCUCCUGCCUCAGCCUCCUGAGUAGCCGGGACUAUGGAUGCAUGCCACCAUGCCUGACUAACUUUUUAAAAUUGUUGUUGGAGAUAGGAUCUCACUAUAUUGCUCAGGCUGGUCUUGAACCCCUAGGCUCAAGUAAUCCUCCCACCUCAGCCUCCUGAGUAGCUGGAAUUACAGGUGCCAGCCACUGUGUCCACCUAAAGAUUUGUUUUCAAAAAUACAUAAUCACAACAUGUUCAUCACACCUAAAAAACUAAGAAUAGUUUCUUAAUAUUACAUUUCCAGGAAUAUUUUGAUCAAAAUAUAUUAAAGCAUAAAAAAAGUAGAAAUAUUUUAUUAAACCGUAUAUUAUUGGCAAAGAUACAAUAAAAAGAUUUCUCA
rnacentral:lncRNA from 1 species